rnacentral:rRNA from 1 species
GACGAACGCUGGCGGCGUGCUUAACACAUGCAAGUCGAACGGAAAGGCCCUGCUUUUGGGGGGUGCUCGAGUGGCGAACGGGUGAGUAACACGUGAGUAACCUGCCCUUGACUUUGGUAUAACUUCAGGAAACUGGGGCUAAUACCGGAUAGGAGCUCCUGCUGCAUGGGGGGGGUUGGAAAGUUUCGGCGGUUGGGGAUGGACGCGCGGUUUAUCAGCUUGUUGGUGGGGUAGUGGCUUACCAAGGCUUUGGCGGGUAGCCGGCCUGAGAGGGUGCCCGGCCACAUUGGGACUGAGAUACGGCCCAGACUCCUACGGGAGACAGAAGUGGGGAAUAUUGCACAAUGGGCGGAAGCCUGAUGCAGCCGCGCCGCGUGCGGGAUGACGGCCUUCGGGUUGUAAACCGCUUUCGCCUGUGACGAAGCGUGAGUGACGGUAAUGGGUAAAGAAGCACCGGCUAACUACGUG